rnacentral:rRNA from 1 species
ACGGGUGAGUAACACGUGGGCAACCUGCCUUAUAGAGAGGAAUAGCCAUUCGAAAGGAUGAUUAAUACCUCAUAAUAUUGUAGUUUCGCAUGAAGCAACAAUCAAAGGAGCAAUUCACUAUAAGAUGGGCCCGCGGCGCAUUAGCUAGUUGGUGAGGUAACGGCUCACCAAGGCGACGAUGCGUAGCCGACCUGAGAGGGUGAUCGGCCACAUUGGGACUGAGACACGGCCCAGACUCCUACGGGAGGCAGCAGUGGGGAAUAUUGCACAAUGGGGGAAACCCUGAUGCAGCAACGCCGCGUGAGUGAUGACGGCCUUCGGGUUGUAAAGCUCUGUCUUCAGGGACGAUAAUGACGGUACCUGAGGAGGAAGCCACGGCUAACUACGUGCCAGCAGCCGCGGUAAUACGUAGGUGGCAAGCGUUGUCCGGAUUUACUGGGCGUAAAGGGAGCGUAGGCGGACUUUUAAGUGGGAUGUGAAGUACCCGGGCUUAACCUGGGUGCUGCAUUCCAAACUGGGAGUCUAGAGUGCAGGAGGGGAAAGUGGAAUUCCUAGU